rnacentral:rRNA from 1 species
CAAUAGCGUAUAUUUAAGUUGUUGCAGUUAAAAAGCUCGUAGUUGGACCUUGGGCCUGGACGGGCGGUCCGCCUCACGGCGUGUACUGUCUUGCCGGGCCUUUCCUCUUGGUGAUCUGUUGUUUCGGCAGCAGGGAACCAGGACCUUUACUUUGAAAAAAUUAGAGUGUUCAAAGCAGGCUCGACGCCGGAAUAUAUUAGCAUGGAAUAAUAAAAUAGGACGUGCGGUUCUAUUUUGUUGGUUUUUGGAAUCGCCGUAAUGAUUAAUAGGGACAGUCGGGGGCAUUAGUACUCACAUGCUAGAGGUGAAAUUCUUGGAUUUUGUGAAGACUAACUUCUGCGAAAGCAUUUGCCAAGGAUGUUUUCAUUAA